rnacentral:rRNA from 1 species
AUUGAACGCUGGCGGCAUGCUUUACACAUGCAAGUCGAACGGUAACAGGCCUUCGGGUGCUGACGAGUGGCGAACGGGUGAGUAAUGCAUCGGAACGUACCCAGAGGUGGGGGAUAACGCAGCGAAAGCUGUGCUAAUACCGCAUGUGAUCUGAGGAUGAAAGCGGGGGACCGAGCAGCAAUGUUUGGCCUCGCGCCUUUGGAGCGGCCGAUGUCGGAUUAGCUAGUUGGUGGGGUAAAGGCCUACCAAGGCGACGAUCCGUAGCUGGUCUGAGAGGACGACCAGCCACACUGGGACUGAGACACGGCCCAGACUCCUACGGGAGGCAGCAGUGGGGAAUUUUGGACAAUGGGCGCAAGCCUGAUCCAGCAAUGCCGCGUGCGGGAAGAAGGCCUUCGGGUUGUAAACCGCUUUUGGCAGGAACGAAACGGUGUCCGCUAAUACCGGGCGCUAAUGACGGUACCUGCAGAAUAAGCUCCGGCUAACUACGUG